rnacentral:rRNA from 1 species
AUUGAACGCUGGCGGCAUGCCUUACACAUGCAAGUCGAACGGCAGCACGGGGCAACCUGGUGGCGAGUGGCGAACGGGUGAGUAAUGCAUCGGAACGUACCUUUCAGUGGGGGAUAACGUAGCGAAAGUUACGCUAAUACCGCAUAUUCUGUGAGCAGGAAAGCAGGGGAUCGCAAGACCUUGCGCUGAUUGAGCGGCCGAUGUCAGAUUAGCUAGUUGGUAAGGUAAAGGCUCACCAAGGCGACGAUCUGUAGAGGGUCUGAGAGGAUGAUCCGCCACACUGGAACUGAGACACGGUCCAGACUCCUACGGGAGGCAGCAGUGGGGAAUUUUGGACAAUGGGGGCAACCCUGAUCCAGCCAUGCCGCGUGAGUGAAGAAGGCCUUCGGGUUGUAAAGCUCUUUCGGCCGGGAAGAAAUCGCACGGGCUAAUACCCUGUGUGGAUGACGGUACCGGAAUAAGAAGCACCGGCUAACUACGUGCCAGCAGCCGCGGUAAGAC